UACGUAGGGGGCAAGCGUUGUCCGGAUUUAUUGGGCGUAAAGAGCGUGUAGGCGGCCGUACAGGUCAGCUGUGAAAACUCGAGGCUCAACCUCGAGACGUCGGUUGAAACCGUACGGCUAGAGUCCGGAAGAGGAGAGUGGAGUUCCCGGUGUAGCGGUGAAAUGCGCAGAUAUGGGGAGGAACACCGGUGGCGAAGGCGGCCACCUGGACGGAUACUGACGCUGAGACGCGAAAGCGUGGGUAGCAAACAGG
rnacentral:rRNA from 1 species